GCGCGUGUAGUGUAGUGGUAAGCAUGUUGCCUUCCCACGUUAACGUAGGAAUAGGCAGCGACCCUGGUUCGAAUCCUGGCGCGCGCA
rnacentral:tRNA from 2 species